GACGAACGCUGGCGGCGUGCCUAAUACAUGCAAGUCGAGCGAUGAUUAAAGAUAGCUUGCUAUUUUUAUGAAGAGCGGCGAACGGGUGAGUAACGCGUGGGAAAUCUGCCGAGUAGCGGGGGACAACGCUUGGAAACGAACGCUAAUACCGCAUAACAAUGAGAAUCGCAUGAUUCUUAUUUAAAAGAAGCAAUUGCUUCACUACUUGAUGAUCCCGGGUUGUAUUAGCUAGUUGGUAGUGUAAAGGACUACCAAGGCGAUGAUACAUAGCCGACCUGAGAGGGUGAUCGGCCACACUGGGACUGAGACACGGCCCAGACUCCUACGGGAGGCAGCAGUAGGGAAUCUUCGGCAAUGGGGGCAACCCUGACCGAGCAACGCCGCGUGAGUGAAGAAGGUUUUCGGAUCGUAAAACUCUGUUGUUAGAGAAGAACGUUAAGUAGAGUGGAAAAUUACUUAAGUGACGGUAUCUAACCAGAAAGGGACGGCUAACUACGUGCCAGCAGCCGCCGUAA
rnacentral:rRNA from 1 species